rnacentral:rRNA from 1 species
CUGCGCAGGCCUAACACAUGCAAGUCGAGCGGAUGAGGGAAGCUUGCUUCCUGAUUUAGCGGCGGACGGGUGAGUAAUGCCUAGGAAUCUGCCUGUUAGUGGGGGAUAACGUUCCGAAAGGAACGCUAAUACCGCAUACGUCCUACGGGAGAAAGUGGGGGAUCUUCGGACCUCACGCUAACAGAUGAGCCUAGGUCGGAUUAGCUAGUAGGUGAGGUAAUGGCUCACCUAGGCUACGAUCCGUAACUGGUCUGAGAGGAUGAUCAGUCACACUGGAACUGAGACACGGUCCAGACUCCUACGGGAGGCAGCAGUGGGGAAUAUUGGACAAUGGGCGAAAGCCUGAUCCAGCCAUGCCGCGUGUGUGAAGAAGGUCUUCGGAUUGUAAAGCACUUUAAGUUGGGAGGAAGG